rnacentral:rRNA from 1 species
UACGGGGGGGGCAAGCGUUGUUCGGAAUUACUGGGCGUAAAGGGCUCGUAGGCGGCCAACUAAGUCCGACGUGAAAUCCCAAGGCUUAACCUUGGAACUGCGUCGGAUACUGGUUGGCUUGAAUUCGGGAGAGGGAUGCAGAAUUCCAGGUGUAGCGGUGAAAUGCGUAGAUAUCUGGAGGAAUACCGGUGGCGAAGGCGGCAUCCUGGACCGACAUUGACGCUGAUGAGCGAAAGCUAGGGGAGCAAACGGG